UAGGGAAAUAGGAAUUGAACCUAUAACUGA
rnacentral:tRNA from 1 species